rnacentral:rRNA from 1 species
AUUGAACGCUGGCGGCAGGCCUAACACAUGCAAGUCGAGCGGGGUUUUCGGACCUAGCGGCGGACGGGUGAGUAAUGCCUAGGAAUCUGCCUAUUAGUGGGGGACAACGUUUCGAAAGGAACGCUAAUACCGCAUACGUCCUACGGGAGAAAGCAGGGGACCUUCGGGCCUUGCGCUAAUAGAUGAGCCUAGGUCGGAUUAGCUUGUUGGUGAGGUAAUGGCUCACCAAGGCGACGAUCCGUAACUGGUCUGAGAGGAUGAUCAGUCACACUGGAACUGAGACACGGUCCAGACUCCUACGGGAGGCAGCAGUGGGGAAUAUUGGACAAUGGGCGAAAGCCUGAUCCAGCCAUGCCGCGUGUGUGAAGAAGGUCUUCGGAUUGUAAAGCACUGUAAGUUGGGAGGAAGGGUUGUAGAUUAAUACUCUGCAAUUUUGACGUUACCGACAGAAUAAGCACCGGCUAACUCUGUGCCAGCCGCCGCGGUAACAC